rnacentral:rRNA from 1 species
GAUGAACGCUGGCGGCGUGCUUAACACAUGCAAGUCGAACGAAGCUGCUAAAAGGAAGUCUUCGGAUGGAAUUUUGGUAGACUUAGUGGCGGACGGGUGAGUAACGCGUGGAUAACCUGCCUUAUACAGGGGGAUAACGGAGAGAAAUUUCCGCUAAGACCGCAUAAGACCACAGCACCGCAUGGUGCAGGGGUAAAAUAUUUAUAGGUAUAAGAUGGAUCCGCGUCCGAUUAGCUGGUUGGUGAGGUAGAGGCUCACCAAGGCGACGAUCGGUAGCCGGCCUGAGAGGGUGAACGGCCACAUUGGGACUGAGACACGGCCCAAACUCCUACGGGAGGCAGCAGUGGGGAAUAUUGGACAAUGGGGGGAACCCUGAUCCAGCGACGCCGCGUGAGUGAAGAAGUAUUUCGGUAUGUAAAGCUCUAUCAGCAGGGAAGAAAAUGACGGUACCUGACUAAGAAGCCCCGGCUAACUACGUGCCAGCAGCCGCGGUAAUACGUAGGGGGCAAGCGUUAUCCGGAUUUACUGGGUGUAAAGGGAGCGCAGACGGCGAAGCAAGUCUGAAGUGAAAUGCAUGGGCUCAACCCAUGAAUUGCUUUGGAAACUGUUUGGCUUGAGUGUCGGAGGGGUAAGCGGAAUUCCUAGUGUAGCGGUGAAAUGCGUAGAUAUUAGGAGGAACACCGGAGGCGAAGGCGGCUUACUGGACGACAACUGACGUUGAGGCUCGAAGGCGUGGGGAGCAAACAGG